AGCGAACGCUGGCGGCAGGCCUAACACAUGCAAGUCGAACGAAGCCUUCGGGCUUAGUGGCGGACGGGUGAGUAACACGUGGGAACGUACCUUUUGGUUCGGAAUAACGCAGAGAAAUUUGCGCUAAUACCGAAUGAGCCCUUCGGGGGAAAGAUUUAUCGCCGAAAGAUCGGCCCGCGUUGGAUUAGGUAGUUGGUGUGGUAAAGGCGCACCAAACCUACGAUCCAUAGCUGGUCUGAGAGGAUAAUCAGCCACACUGGGACUGAGACACGGGCCAGGCACGUACGGGAGGCAGCAGUGGGGAACCUUGCGCAAUGGGCGAAAGCCUGACGCAGCCAUGCCGCGUGAAUGAUGAAGGUCUUAGGAUUGUAAAAUUCUUUUAACAGGGACGAUAAUGACGGUACCUGGAGAAAAAGCCCCGGCUAACUUCGUGCCAGCAGCCGCAGUAAAAC
rnacentral:rRNA from 1 species